CUCUUCCUGGCUCGUCUCUAUGGUUGCGCCGGCGUGGGCCGUCUCGGCGCCCGGCGAGUACUGAGGCUCCCAAGUUUGCGGCGGCUCUGAGCGCGGCGGAGCUCGGUGCGGCGCGAUGUCCGAGAAGAAGCAGCCUGUCGACCUGGGUCUCCUGGAAGAGGACGACGAGUUCGAGGAGUUUCCCGCGGAAGACUGGGCUGGCUUAGAUGAAGAUGAAGAUGCUCAUGUCUGGGAGGAUAAUUGGGAUGAUGACAAUGUAGAAGAUGACUUCUCCAAUCAGUUACGUGCUGAGCUUGAGAAGCACGGGUACAAGAUGGAAACGUCAUAGCAUCCAGGAAGCAAGAACCUCAACAUGGACUGUGGGCUAAAUUCUAGGACAGGGAGCAAGGAAGGGAUACUUUAAAGUUAUUUCAUUAUCUGCUUGGAUUUAUUUUUGUUUUAUAACAAAAUAAAUAAAUGUUUUGAUCUAA